rnacentral:lncRNA from 1 species
CUUUAUGGAAUGGGAAAUGUAUUUGUUUAUCUCAAUGAAAAUUACGGUAGAAAUAUGUUCCUUAAGCAACAGCUGCAACUAAAAUAAAUGACACAAUCGAAAAGCUUUGAACUACAUAAAUUCCCAUCUUUUCUAGACUCGUAGUUGCAAGAAUUGCACUUAGUAUUCCAUUACUAAAAUCAUCGUACUGCAAACUUAUAACUGUAUCUUCUCCUUAGACGUUGACUUUCAUUCCAUAAAGACUUCCAGCAAGACCUCCAGCCAGAGUCACCUCUCACUUCAAGUACUCCACUCUCAGAACACGGUUUUGUGUCCAGUAUUUCUCUGUCCAAUCAAAGUGUCUAAGAACUUUUCCUAUGUUUAUGCACUCUGUGGCAAUUGUAACGAUCAAUAAAUUUGCUUUUUAUGACCAGUCGAUGCUGUGAUGUGUUGUAAAUUGAUUUUAUAGUGCCAACUCUUCAUUAUGGGGGGCUCUAGCUAUGGCCAUGAAAGUGCGUUAUAAAGUAUCCAUCGAGUGAAGUGCAACUCGCAUUUGAUGUACUGAAACUGUGCCAGCAAUAUGCACUGGCCGCUGCUCAUCGGAGUUAUGGGUGAGUCCACCUCCUGAAGUGAAGAUUUCUUAGCUAUAUAAAUUUUUGACAUAUUAUACCAUCUUUUACAGCUGUGUUUCUCAGUUUGAUUGGAAAUGAAGUCUGGGUGUAUGCUGCAGCGCCGCCUACUCUCUUUCCAUGGGAGAAAGAGUCCUCAACAAAGCACAAGGCGCCAUAUAGGAUAUCUGGAGAUAUUUAAAGAUAUAUUUGUGGCGGGUUUCCUUUUGGUUUAUAUGAAUAAUUUAAUAUGUUUUGAGUUUGUUUUUUAAAUCAAAUAAACUUUGAGUAAGGCAACUAAAA